rnacentral:tRNA from 1 species
UCCCUGGUAGCUCAGCUGGUAAAGAAUCUGCCUGCAAUGCAGGAGAUCCCAGUUCGAGCUCUGGGUCAGGAAG